GUUUUGUUGUUUAAUGUGGUUGUUGGUAAAAAAUAUCGAUAUCGAAAAAAAGGCAAAUAUCGAGAAAAUAUCGUAUCGAAUGAAAAAGCUGGUAUCGCCAUCUCUAUACAUUUAAACAUUACAUUUUCCCUCGCGCACGUGGCUUAUAUUUUGGUAUGUUUUUCAGAUAGUCCGAAAUUGGACCACAAAAAUUGAUAUAAAAAAG